rnacentral:tRNA from 1 species
UCCGAUAUGGUGUAGUGGCCAACAUGAUGCCCUCUCAUUCACUGAGAGGUUAGGCAUAGCCCCGAGUUCGAUUCUCGGUUUCGGAA